rnacentral:rRNA from 1 species
UGGGGAAUAUUGGACAAUGGGCGCAAGCCUGAUCCAGCCAUACCGCGUGGGUGAAGAAGGCCUUCGGGUUGUAAAGCCCUUUUGUUGGGAAAGAAAUCCAGCUGGCUAAUACCCGGUUGGGAUGACGGUACCCAAAGAAUAAGCACCGGCUAACUUCGUGCCAGCAGCCGCGGUAAUACGAAGGGUGCAAGCGUUACUCGGAAUUACUGGGCGUAAAGCGUGCGUAGGUGGUCGUUUAAGUCCGUUGUGAAAGCCCUGGGCUCAACCUGGGAACUGCAGUGGAUACUGGGCGACUAGAGUGUGGUAGAGGGUAGCGGAAUUCCUGGUGUAGCAGUGAAAUGCGUAGAGAUCAGGAGGAACAUCCAUGGCGAAGGCAGCUACCUGGACCAACACUGACACUGAGGCACGAAAGCGUGGGG